rnacentral:hammerhead_ribozyme from 1 species
ACCCAGCUGAGGAGUCUCAAAUAAGACGAAGUGAGCAUCUUGCGU